rnacentral:tRNA from 1 species
UCUAAUAUGGCAGAUUAGUGCAAUGGAUUUAAGCUUCAUAUAUAAAGAUCAUUCUUUUAUUAGAA